AACGAACGCUGGCGGCAUGCCUAACACAUGCAAGUCGAACGAACUCUUCGGAGUUAGUGGCGCACGGGUGCGUAACGCGUGGGAAUCUGCCCUUGGGUACGGAAUAACCCAGAGAAAUUUGUGCUAAUACCGUAUAAUGUCUUCGGACCAAAGAUUUAUCGCCCAAGGAUGAGCCCGCGUAAGAUUAGCUUGUUGGUGAG
rnacentral:rRNA from 1 species